rnacentral:rRNA from 1 species
CGAGUGUAGCGGCAAAAGCUCAAAUUUGAAAUCUGGCGUCUUCGACGUCCGAGUUGUAAUUUGAAGAAGGCGACUUUGUAGCUGGUCCUUGUCUAUGUUCCUUGGAACAGGACGUCAUAGAGGGUGAGAAUCCCGUGUGGCGAGGAUCCCAGUUAUUUGUAAAGUGCUUUCGACGAGUCGAGUUGUUUGGGAAUGCAGCUCUAAGUGGGUGGUAAAUUCCAUCUAAAGCUAAAUAUUGGCGAGAGACCGAUAGCGAACAAGUACAGUGAUGGAAAGAUGAAAAGAACUUUGAAAAGAGAGUGAAAAAGUACGUGAAAUUGUUGAAAGGGAAGGGCAUUUGAUCAGACAUGGCGUUUGCUUCGGCUUUCGCUGGGCCAGCAUCAGUUUUAGCGGUUGGAUAAAUCCUCGGGAAUGUGGCUCUGCUUCGGUAGAGUGUUAUAGCCCGUGGGAAUACAGCCAGCUGGGACUGAGGAUUGCGACUUUUGUCAAGGAUGCUGGCGUAAUGGUUAAAUGCCGCCC